GCCAGGCGUGGUGGUGCAUGCCUGUAAUCCCAGCUACUCAGGAGGCUGAGGCAGGAGAAUUGCUUGAACCCAGGAGGUGGAGGUUGCAGUGAGCCAAGAUCACACCACUGCACUCCAGCCUGGGUGACAGAGUGAGACCCUGCCUCAA
rnacentral:SRP_RNA from 2 species